rnacentral:rRNA from 1 species
AGGGGCAGCGGGAUUGAAGCUUGCUUCAAUUGCCGGCGACCGGCGCACGGGUGAGUAACGCGUAUCCAACCUUCCGCUUACUCGGGGAUAGCCUUUCGAAAGAAAGAUUAAUACCCGAUUGUAUCUUAAGCACGCAUGAGAUUAAGAUUAAAGAUUUAUCGGUAAGCGAUGGGGAUGCGUUCCAUUAGGCAGUUGGCGGGGUAACGGCCCACCAAACCUACGAUGGAUAGGGGUUCUGAGAGGAAGGUCCCCCACAUUGGAACUGAGACACGGUCCAAACUCCUACGGGAGGCAGCAGUGAGGAAUAUUGGUCAAUGGGCGAGAGCCUGAACCAGCCAAGUAGCGUGAAGGAUGACGGCUCUACGGGUUGUAAACUUCUUUUGUGCGGGAAUAAAGGAGCCUACGUGUAGGCUUUUGCAUGCACCGUAACGAAUAAGCAUCGGCUAACUCCGUGCCAGCAGCCGCGGUAAUACGGAGGAUGCGAGCGUUAUCCGGAUUUAUUGGGUUUAAAGGGAGCGUAGACGGGUUUUUAAGUCAGCUGUGAAAGUUUGGGGCUCAACCUUAAAAUUGCAGUUGAAACUGGAGACCUUGAGUACGGUUGAGGCAGGCGGAAUUCGUGGUGUAGCGGUGAAAUGCUUAGAUAUCACGAAGAACCCCGAUUGCGAAGGCAGCCUGCUAAGCCGCC